rnacentral:lncRNA from 1 species
AAACAAAUCAGACCAGAUUUAGUUGCAAGCAAAUAAAUAGUAUUUGCAGGUAUACAAACAUAAAUUCCAUCAUCUAUUACAGGAGCCGUACAAUCAUUUCGCAGCGACUGGCUCAAAUUGCUAAAUGUAGUUCUUUGAAGACUAGGAUUUAUAGAUCUUGAGCAAGGAAAUAAAAGGUAUGCUAUUUACUCAACCUCAUUCGACUUUAAAUGUUAAUGCUGUGACAAAGAAACAGAUACCUGAAAAGCUUUAUGCUAACUGAUCAAUCAGUCCUAUUGGUGGUCGAAGAUCUUAUCUAGUUUAUUUCGAGCAGCCUGUAUAGCUUAGUUGUAUACUCAAUAAUAACACACACACACAGAGAGAGAGAGAGAGAGAGAGAGAGGAAGAACCCCAGAUUUUUGUAGAGUGCCAGUGGGAUCACAUGUUGCUAGCCAACCAACUCGCCAGCCAGGAACAGCCCAUUUCUUAGAUAAAGAACCCAGAGUGAUAACAGGGACAAUCGAUCCAAAAGAAGCCAUUGGAAUGAAUGGAUUGUCCCCAAAAGUGAGAUGCUCGUAAACUUCAUCAGUAAUCACCAAAAUUCCAAGCUUUUGUGCAGUCUCUGCUAUCUAAUAUUCAACAAAACCAGCAACUAAUGUCAGAACUACAUUAAUGGAAGCAUAUACUGCUAUGAUAUCUACCAAAGCAGCCUGAUCAUUCUAACUACAAAGUUGGCUGGCUAUCAUCACAUCCCUAUCAUUUAAUACGGGUGUUGCUGACACCCAAAAUACUUGUAAUAACAACAUUACUUGGGUAUUAACCAGUUCCCAACUCUGAUUAGAUACAGAAAUUAAGAUAAAGGAAAAACACCUUCUUCAAAUGCUCAAACGAGAAAACAUUCCCACAUGGAUUUCCUGGAUUAAUGAUAACUAUAGCAGCAGUAUUUUCAUCAGCAAGGGCUUCGAGAGAAUCGAGAUCCACCUCCCAACCCUUGUCAGGAAGAAGAUCGUAAUGGCGAAAGUCAAGUUGGCUAAAUAAGCAGCGAGCUUCAUAGUUUGGGAAACCUGGUCUUGGAAGCAAAACGUUUGCACCAGGACUUGCAAGAACUGCCACUAUCACUUCCAUUGCUUGCGCACUUCCCACAGUAAUAUAAACAUCAUCAGGUGAUAACUUGUAGGGAAGGUCUAGGGAAAGAUAUUCAGCAACUGCCCUGCUUAUCAAUGACACAAACAAAAUCAAGAAUCAGACAAGUCACUAAACAAGUAAGCGAGUGAACUAGUAGCUCAGGGAUGGAAUGUCAGCUUCUUGUAAACAAUCAAGACUCGAACAAAUUUUCAUCCUCCCAAUUUCUCAUCCAGAUUGUUCUAAAAAGUUUAAUAUAAUUAAGAAGUGAGAAAACAUAUAUACCUUCUUGCAGGAAGAAUACCGAUACAAGAAGAAUAAGUAUUGAACUGGGCAGAUUGAAGGGCAUCAACCACAGCACUUUCAGCUUUAAGACUGGUCCUAAACGACGGAAAGGCAGCAGGAUCACCAUGG